rnacentral:rRNA from 3 species
GAAGCGGCAACAGCUCAAAUUUGAAAUCUGGCGCAAGCCCGAGUUGUAAUUUGUAGAGGAUGCUUCUAGGCAGCGGCCGUUCUAAGUUCCUUGGAACAGGACGUCAUAGAGGGUGAGAAUCCCGUAUGUGACCGGCACGCACCUUUUACGUAGCUCCUUCGACGAGUCGAGUUGUUUGGGAAUGCAGCUCUAAAUGGGAGGUAAAUUUCUUCUAAAGCUAAAUACCGGCUGGAGACCGAUAGCGCACAAGUAGAGUGAUCGAAAGAUGAAAAGCACUUUGGAAAGAGAGUUAAAAAGCACGUGAAAUUGUUGAAAGGGAAGCGCCUGCAACCAGACUUCGUGGCAGUGUUCCGCCGGUCUUCUGACCGGUCUAUUCUCUGUCGCGAGGCCAUCAUCGUCUGGGGCCGCCGGAUAAGACUGGAGGAAUGUAGCUCCCCUCGGGGAGUGUUAUAGCUUCCAGUGAUGCGGCGUGUCUCGGGCGAGGUCCGCGCUUCGGCAAGGAUGAUGGCGUAAUGGUUGUCGGCGGCCCGUCUUGAAACACGGACCAAGGAGUCUAACAUCUAUGCGAGUGUUCGGGUGUCAAACCCCUACGCGUAAUGAAAGUGAACGGAGGUGGGAACUUUUUGUGCACCAUCGACCGAUCCUGAUGUCCUCGGAUGGAUUUGAGUAAGAGCAUAGCUGUUGGGACCCGAAAGAUGGUGAACUAUGCCUGAAUAGGGUGAAGCCAGAGGAAACUCUGGUGGA